GAGAGAGAGAGAGAGAGAGAGAGAGAGAAGAAAGAGGCCAGUGUGGGCUACAUGAAACCCUAUCUCAAAUAAAUAGUAUACAAUCAAUUGAACUAUCAGUGUUAAGCUGCUGCUGAUGGAAGGGAACCAGGGGUCCCAUCCAUUGGCCAGCUAGGUGGGACUGCCUGGGCUGUUCAGAUUGAUGCAUGCAGUGGUCAAGACUAUGAAGACCACCCUCCCUUGAUCACAGGUCUGCAUGGUGUUUUGGUGUCUUCUGCCCUUGUGAUUCCUAAGACUUGGGAUCCCCUAGUGAGACUCUCCCAGUCUUGGAUGAGUUUGUUUUCAUCACCUAAGGUUCUCAGUUAUCCAGAUGUCACAUAAGGGACCUCCAACAAGGCCUAGCAAAAAUAGCCUGUCCUCUGAUCAUAUCGUCCCUUUCACACAGAGUGCCACUUCCCUGGAUAGAUAAAAUUUACUACCUAAGUCUCAAAACCCAUAGCUCCAUUAUUUUGUUUGUUUUUGUUGUUUGUUUUGUUUUAAAAGUUUAUUUUAUGUGUAGAACUGUUUUGCCUACAUGUAUGUAAGUGCACCAUAUGUGUACCUGGUACCCAUGGAGGCCAAAAGAUAGGAUCCCUUGGAACUAGAGUUACAGACAAUUGUGAGAUGCCAUCUGGUUGUCAGGAACUGAACCCAGGUCAGCCACUGCUCUUAACUGCUGAACCAUCACUCCAACUCCUGUACUGUUUCAAUCAAGAUUAGCUAGGCAAAGUCCCCAUCCUGAUUUCCCCAGUGAGAACGCUUCUUCACUGACUUCUGGGAGUUACCUGCACUCACCAGGUCUGUCUCCCCAUGUGCAGAGGGAGGCAGCAGAACUAGAUUAUCCCGAGUUCCUUUUCAGUGCUAGCAUCACAUCUUCAGGUGCCCCAAGGUGUGACAGUGCUGAUGGGGAAUGGAGACCCCAGACUUCAUUAACUCCACAUUUUGGAGCAUGGAGGGAAUCAAGAUGGCUGUAACCCAAGAACUUGCCAGGAACUGGCUGAGAUGAUUCUGCUGCUUGUGGUGAAAUGUCUUGGCAGACCACUCAGGUAGGUCGGUACAGGUGAGGGAGAGGGUGGGGUUGACAACUCUGUGGCCCCUGAGUAACGUUUCCUUGCAGGAUUGGAUGCCUACAUAUUGGUGGAUACCAACUAGAUGGGUCCAUCUAUAUUGGCAAAGUAGGUGAGCCGUCACUCCACACACUCACUUGGCAGAGUUUCAAUGGAUUUCUCACCUUGAAAUACUGUCCUGUUUUCAUUGUUAUUGUUUCCAGUAAGACCUUCCUGUAAUCCUCUGGUUCUCUGCCCAGGUGGCACAUUCUUUGAGAACAUACCUCCAGACGCCGUCGUCGUCGGUCAGAAAUAGCUGACCUCAUAGCUGGAGCAAGAGAAGACUUGUCCAAAGCCAACGUUCCAAUUGUUGAUCUGUUGUUUGGUACAAGAAAAGCUGUAUUCUAAACCCACCUCAGAGCAUACAACUCAGGUGACUAGGUUGAUAAGCUUGCUAUGUAAGCAUUAGGACCUGAGCUCAAUCCCCAGCUCUGUAUAAAAGACAAAGAUAGAUAUUAGCAGCACACACUGAAUGACUAGAGAGGAUCAGUUAGGUUUGCUGAGCUCAGUCUAGCAAAUUUUGAGCUCCAGCCAAAAGAUCCCAUCUCAGAAAAUGAAGUGGAAAGUGAUGAAGACAUCUGAUGUCAACCUGUGGCUUGACACACACAUGCUCAUGGACACACAUAAGCGUCUACUACAUAUGCAAGUGUACUUUCACAAAGGUGCAGACAGAGUCAUAGGAACCAAGCCCAACUGAUCUGUGACUAGCAUUCCAUGCGCCCUGCCGAGGAGACUGAGAAGGUGCCAUUGGAAGAACCACAACAGCACAUAGGUUUCAGAAACCAGCAAAGAGUUUGCUGCAUCGCUCUGAGAACAGGGCAGAAGUCCCCCAGCGUGGGGACAAUCAGCUCCUAAUCUGGCUGAGAGGAGGGACAAAGGGGCUGGAGGGGCUACAGAGCCAGGAAGACACCCAUGCUUACCAGCCUCACCAGGAAAGGGAAGGCUGGGCCAGCCGGCCUGCAGAGUGGGGGACAGACAGCAAAGGGCCCCAAAGCAGUGGGAUUAAGUGUUGAGGUGAGGGGAUUAGUUGUGUUGGUGGAAGGAGCAAUUCAAUCGUGUUCCUUUUUGCAGGGAACCUGAUCUCCAUGUUCUCAGGGAGCCUUCAUCUGCCCUGUGGGUCCUAACUGCAGCUCUAAUUAGCUGUGACUGCUUCUUGUCUGGUGGCUGGGGUCGUGUCUUAGCAUUCUUUAUAGCUCUGGGCACCUAGCAACAGGCAGCUGUCGAGGUAGGGGCAGAAUAAUCAUUGUCUGUCUCAAUUCCAGUGUCUCAAAUGGAGAUUCAGAUAUAUUCUUCUUCUCAGAAAGAUUUCUGUUAUACAGGAAAUGAGCAUAGCAGUCAUGGUUUCUCUAUCUAGAUCUCAGAAUGCUCCCUGGCCUCAGUGUGAGCUCAACCCCUCAUAGUGUAUGCCACGGGGUCAUGGCCACUGUUUAUCUAUGGUUACAGCCCCUCAGCCUGCAUGUAGUAAGGCAGCCUUUCUUAGGGAAGGAAACAGCAAAACAAAAAUAAAUGUUAAGAAGUACAGGGGAUGGUGAUGAAGGCACAGUCUUGAGUUCUUUGGUCUCUCCUAGACAGCAUAUACUGAACUGUAACUAUUUCUUCCAGACAUGCACAGAAGUCAAGGUCAGGUGAGCCAUGGUUUAACUGCCUGAGCAUGAGACUCAUGCCAUGCCUUAUGGGACUGGGUAGUGUGUCUCCUGCGUAGUAGAGCAACCCAGGUUCCACCUCAGCUACGUGAGAAUUCCUACCAGGAGGUCUCAUAGGUGUUAGAACUGUGUGAGGAGUGAGGGAUGCUAGAAAUCCACAGAUCCCCGUCUCCUUUAAGCAUCUGGCCUCUCCAGAGGAAGGAGACUGUAUGGGAGACAGCUCUCAACUAGACCAGUAGGGCUAUAGAGGAAUGGAUUAGUAGAACCUCAUGGUAGAUAGAAAUCAGAAGUACUUAGAAUGGUUGGCUGUUAAGAGGUCAGGCUGGGACUGGAGAGGUGGUUCCAUGGUUAAGAACUCAUACUCUUGCAGAGUACCCAAGUUUCUUUCCUAGUACCCAUGCCAUGCUGGUCUUCUGACCUCUUCAGGCUCCUGCACUACACACAUACACAUAGACUCUGGCAUGCACUUACAUAUGUGUGCACAGACACUUACUAAGUCAGGCCUGGAGUAGCCCUGGUGUCUUGAGUGCAGCCCUGAUGGGUGGCAAGCUUCUGGAUUGGGGAAACACGGUAUUGUAAGACAGUCAGAGACAUAAAAGUAGCUCACAUGUGACCAGGGUACACAGACAGGUGUGGGCCUGGCAGACACCUGAGUCCUAGGUUGUGGGCUGAAGAAAAGCACAAUGGGCCUGGAGUCAUUGCCACUCUGUAAUGGGGACCCAAAGAAAACGACUGUUAGGAAGCAUGUGGAGAAGAAGCGCAGGCCUGGGUCGGGACCAGGGCUAGGAACAUUCAAGGAGCUGAUGGAGGUGGCAGAAAAGGAAAGACCUGGGAGAUGCUACAAACAACUAGGAGAGGGAGUUGCCAUGGCAACCAAGGUAGUAAGGAGUUUCAAGGAGAAAGUAAUCAACAUUGUCAAAUGUGGCAGUGAAUUCCAAUCAGAUGAAGACAGAAAUUUCCUCUUUGGCUUUCAGGAUUAGCUGGCCUUAAGAGCUUUUGGAAGUCGGGCAGUGGUGGCACACGCCUUUAAUCCCAGCACUCAGGAGACAGAGUUGUAGGAAUAUAAAGGAGAGUGAUGCUGACAUCAAGGGGGGCACGAGACUCACUAAGUCCUUUAAGGAGUCAGAAAGGAAGAGUUGGAGAGGGUGAGCUAGGAAGGAUGAGCACAUUGUUCACUAACUAGUAUAGACAGCCACACCUCCCGUGUGCCUCUGCUGUGCACCCAGCAGGGUGCCUAACACUGUGGGCUCUUUGGGGCAACAGAGCAGUUGGGGCUUCUGGAGCAGUAGAGGAGAAAGACAGACUCAGUCGUGCUUUUCAGUGUACAGGGCCCCAUACUGACGGGGCUCUGAUAGAAACAUCCUCCAGACUGAAAAUUCUGGGUCACAGGUAACCCUGUGCCAGAGGCCUACUCCAGGAAGGACAGAAGCAGAGUCUAGAGGCAGACGGUGAGGAGCUGGAGGAAAGAAAGGAACAAACAGAGCCCUGACCUUUUUCAUAUUAACCUUGAAGGAAAGAGCAGUGCUGCUGUGUGGAUAUUCUGGGCUGUGGAGCCAGAGUAAUUGAACAAUUAGGGAUGGAGACAAUUAUGUGAAAUAAGCUCCCAAAGGGGCUGGGAUCAAGUGCAGAGGAAGACAAAUUAGUUUGGGGCAAUAAUGUGUAUAUGACCAAAUGUGGGUAAAACUCAAUUAUUUACCUUUUAGAGAGCAACAUGAUCCCAUGUUCUUUUGGGAGCUUUUAUCUGCCCUAUAUCCUACCUGCAUGCCUAAUUAGCACCAGUUUGAUCUUGUUUUGUGGCUGGGACCAUGUCUUAAUAUUUUGUGUGCAAUAGACUGAACUGUUUAUAGGUGCCAAGCCAGUAUCUUCUGCCUUGGACUGGAAUUACAAAAAUCAACACAUAUUCUUGCUUCAACCAAAAAGUAUGACUGUUGCAGCACAAUAAAGGGGAAUUGGAGCAGUUAAAUGUAGGGAGGCAGACAUUUGGGUGACUGGGUGGAGACAAAGUAGAGUCUGCCUCACACACCCUCAUGAGUUCUAGGUUCACACCCCCACCUCACAUGAACUUCCUCUCCCCAACAAGAUGGUGCUCUGUGUUAUCUCCAGGAGGGAAUGAGAAGACACACCUGAUCAUGCCAGCACCACACUAGCGACAAGAAUUACUGUAGACUUCCAGCCAACGUGGUAGGACCAGUCUAAGGGACUAAGAGCAGAGAAAAGAAGACAGCAGGCUGGGAAGUUGAGGCUGGCAGCCCCAAGCAGUAGAUAUAAGAAAGCUGGUCUCUCUGGAGCCCUGGCCACUCUGAACGUGACCCGGGGUCCCAUCUCACUGUCUAGUGUGCUCUAGAGAGCAGGCCCUCCCCAGUGGCAGGCAGACCCCAGUGUCAUUGCUGUGCUUCGUGCUCAUUUUUACAUGUGAUGUGACAGAUGGAGUGGGGCAGACAGGAAGCUUGCUGAACACCUCUCCCCACAGCCCUGCCUGACUUCCCUCCUGGAUCCUGUGAUAGCCUCUUCACGCUGCUCAUCUCUUGUGUGAUUCUGUGAGCCAAGGCUGUGUUUUAAUGAGCAAAGCUUUGAAUAGUGUCUCAGUACCUGAUACGGCAGGUGAUGUCCACAUUGGAAGUGCUUCUGAGCUGUGUGCCCUACAGGAUUCGCCUCAAGUGGCCGUCUGCACCUCCAUUCACUCCAGUGCUCCGCUCAGCUGGCCACACACAAAGCAGAUCACCUUCUGUUUAGUUGUUUCCUGCUGAUUGACUGGAAAAUGCCUUUGGUGGCGUUCACACAAACACUGAGGGCACCCACCCUUGCCUUAGUCUCCUUUUUCCCACAUACAAGUAUUUCUGGAGGACAAGUACUUGGAACUGUUGGGCCAUACGAAGACACACUCUGAAUUCACAUAAAAACAGCCACAGUCUUCUCCAAAGUACCCGGUUCGAUCUCCUGCCAGAACGCCUCCACCUUUAACAUCUUCACCAAUUGGAUGGGUUCAGAUACUGUCAUGGGUUAACAUUCCCUGUGCUGUGCCACAGCCGAAGCCUCUGUUUACCUCUGGACUGUAUACCCAAGUCCUUCUUGCUCCUCUCCCUCUGCCUGCCUGCCUGCCUCCCUCUCUCUCCCUUCCUUUCCUUCCCUCCCUCCGUCCCAUCUUUCUCCCUGUCUCCCUUUCUUCCAUUGUCUCACUGUGGAUUCCUUUCUAGCCUCAAACUCGGAAUCCUCCAGUCUCAGUCUGCUGAGUACUGGGAUUAUAGCUAUGAUGUCACUUCCUGCCCAUUUCUUGUCUUUCUUUUUUAAAGAUAUUUCAUCUUUCAUUGGUUUUUGGUUCUUCAUCUACUUCAUGCUUUUAUAUACUAAUGCUUUGUUGUUAAUGACAUUUUUCUACAUUGUGAUUCUUUUGACAUUUAGUUGAAUUGCUUUUAGAAAAAUUUAAGUUUUGAUAUAGUCAUCUGUUGGUUUUACUUUUACACUUUCUUUUGGCAAUCCUAAAAAACCUUUAUCAGGGCAGUGAUGGCAUAUGCCUUUAACCCCAGUACUUGGGAGGCAGAGGCAGCCACAUCUCUGAGAGUUCAAGGCUAGCCUGGCCUAUAAAGCCUAGGAUAGCCAAAGCUGCACAAAGAAACCCUGUCUAAAGAACAAAAAAGAACAAGUCUUCUUUAUAUUAAAUUCAAGGCAUUUUUACUGUAUUUUCUUCUCUGGCAUUUAUAGUUAACAUAUAUAUUUAUGUUUAUAUAUAAUUUUUAAAUUAUAUUUUGUUAUGUAUAAAGAAUAAAUUCCAUAUGCAUGAUUCUUAUUGUCUAAUGUCACCACCCUACUAUUUUGUGGAAUGUAGACGGUGUCAUCUAAGCCUGCUCCCUUUACCUAGCGCCACCCCACCACACUGUGUGAGUGUACCCCACCACACUGUGGGAGUGCACCCCACCACACUGUGGGAGUGCACCCCACCACACUAUAAGACCUUCCCUGGUCUGAGGUGUCUGUCUCCUCCCAGGCUGCUGCUGAGCUGUGAUAAGAGCAGAACCAACUCCUUCUCUGAUGUGCAGAAUUGCUUUGGUCAUCCUUGUACGUUAGUCCUACCAUAUGAAUUUUAAAAUAUAUCAAUUUUCAAGAGAAUUUUUGCUGGGAAAUUUUAUUGGAGUUAUACUGAAUUCACGGACAAAUCUAAGAGAAAUCAGCCUCUCUUUCCCAAGUGCUCAUGGUACCCUCCCAGCCCAGGGCAUCUUGUCCCUCUGGAGGAGAUGGCUGCUUUCUCUGGGUCAUCCUGCAUUUUGUUUCUUGGUGGAUUUCACCCUCAGCCCUUUGACAGGGUUUUCCGGCAGCUCUGGAUGGCGGGUCCCCUGUGCUUCUGUUUGCCUGACCCGUGGUCCACAUCUCAGCCUUGCACUAAUCAGGGAGCUUGCUCUGCAGACACACACAGUAAACGUUCUUCCUCCCUGGGCACAAACGCACGAGCACCGCCGAACACAGAGCCGGUAUAAUUGGCCGAAAACAAAUUAGAAUCGUUCCAAAUUACACUUUAAUUAAGCAAGCAAAGCAUGAAUACAUUCUCCCAUUUAGAGGUGGGACAGCGUGGACCCAACUGCUGUGUCUGCCACCUGAGAUUGAGGCCUCUCCUCCAGGAAGCCUCUGUUGAGAGCUUCAGGGAUUUCUUUUCAGAGUAGCACACAUCUUAGCAAUGGUGAGGGUAUCCAGAACAAAUGUAGCCCGGUCAUGGGUGUUACACGGUACUCUUCUCAUUUACUGCCUACCUGGGUCAUACUUGUCUGUGUUCUGUUUUCCCUUCCAAACAUCACCCUGAAGUUAGUUUUCCCUCAUUCAGGAAGAGCACAGCAGAGAACACCAAUGCACAGGUUCUAGAAACAUUCUCCAGGACCUAGGCUGGCCACUGUCUAUGAAUUUUGAAGCAAGAUUUCAUGUAGCCCAGGCUAGUCUCAAACUCACUGUGUAACCAAGGUUGACCUUCAACUCAAGGGUUAGAACUGCAGGCCCUCAUGUCCAGCCAAACUUAGCCUCUUACCUUGCCUUCUGAAGGCCUCCCCGUCACCAGCCUCUCAAAUAUUUUCUGACUUUUUUCCUCUGAAAAUUUCCUGCUGCUUUUCUUACAUUUGCAUCAUACUGUUUUCUAGCUCUCACAUUUGACACGUGACCGCAGGCGAGGCUCAUUAGAGUGUGGCAUCGGUGCUUAGUUUUGAUACACUUCAAAAUGGAUGACUAAGUUUUCCAAUACAACUUAUUGGCGUGCUGUCAUUUCCUCUGGUGAUUUUGGUUUAUUCCCUUUGUUCGACACAGCUCCCAGCUGUGUCCAACACAGGCUCUUUCUCUCCAGUCAUCCAUGUGCUCCCUACAGUUGCUUUGAUAACAGUGAAAGCAAUCCACUCUCUUGUUUUGUGGCAUCGUCUUGGUCUUGUAUAUUGUUACAACAGUUUACAUUUUUGAACCAGUUGGUCAAGCUUUAAAACCUUGCUGGGAGUUUUAGGGAAUCUGUGGCUAAAUCUGAGAGAAAUGGACAUCUUUAUCCUGUAGCACAUACAGUGCUCCCAGUCCAGUCAUUUUCCUGCCUUUUAGAAGUUUGGUGUUUUCCUCUGGUGACAGUCUUGCCGACUUCAUAUUUAUUCUUGGGUCCUCAAGGUUUUGCUAGCAGCCCCCUGCUUCUGUUUGCCUGACCCGUGGUCCCCAUCUCAGCCUUGCACUAAUCAGGGAGCUUGCUCUGCAGACACACACAGUAAACGUUCUUCCUCCCUGGGCACAAACGCACGAGCACGCCGAACACAGAGCCGGUAUAAUUGGCCGAAAACAAAUUAGAAUCGUUCCAAAUUGCACUUUAAUUAAACAAGCAAAGCAUGAAUACAUUGUUCCAUUUAGAGGUGGAAUUACAUGAACCCAGCUGCUGUCACCUCUACCAAAGUCCUGUACCCCAUCCCCUCCAGAGCUCUGUGUGUCUGCUUCUGUGUGUGUGUGUGAAAUCCAUGCUGGUGCAAGCUUGCCGGAGGCUGCAUCUUGACUCACUGUAGAAUCUUUACAGCACAGCCAUGCUGAUUCCUAAAGCUCAUGUCCUUUAACACAGCAGAACACUGGUUCCCUCCGUUCUCGUUCUCCGUCUCCAGGCUCCACCAAUAUUUAGUCGGUUCUUUGUCUCUACUCUGUUGUGAGCAGCCUUCUAACUUGGCAAUGAUGAAGAGGUAGGAUGCUGGGUCUGCACAUUUUCAGUUUUAGCAGACUUCACUGGUGCCCUCCAUGGUUUCUUUACCAUGCAAGCAUCUAGCCAGAGGCUGACUUUAAUCCCCACACCAUGAGCAGUUCUCAGUGUUUGCCAAUAGGAUAACUGAAAAAGAUAAAUCCCUUUUUAAAUUUGUAUUUUGCUGUUUGCCAGAAAGUUUUUCUUGUGUACAUUGAGUGUUUGUAUUAUUCCCACUGCCUGUUUUUGCAUUAGGCUCUUCAUUGACCUGUAGAACAUCCCGGUGUAAUCUGGAUAGUAUAUUUUUGUGCCUUUUGGACAAAUAUUUUUUCUGGCUCUCAGCUCUUUGUAGAAUCCUGUGUUAGACAGAAGUUACCAAUUUUGAUCUAAUACAUUUCCCCAAUCUCCUUUAUUCCUUUUUUAAUAUAUUUCAUGUUUGGUUUAGAUGGAACCUUUAUUGUUUCCUAAUGGUUUCACAGUUUUUGUUCUUGGCUCUUUCUUGCAUCUGGAAUAUAUUUCUCUGAUUGAAUUGAGACAGCAUCUAACCUUUCUCAAAACGGACAGCCAAUUAUCAGAACACAAUAGAAUGGAUCGGCUCCUCAUCCUUUCUCUGCCACUCUGAAGUGUCCUUCCUCUAGACUGAGGCCCCAUUGCUAUGCGGUUUCAAGGCCCCUGGCUUUUUUUGUUUUUGUUUUUGUUUUUGUUUUUGUUUUUGUUUUUUAACUAAUUUGUUUAUUCCUGUCAGCACCAGACUUUAAUUUGCCAUUGCUUUUUACCACCUUUUGAUAUACAGCCCAGCUUGCUCCUCCACACAGGUUUUUAAGCUGCUUGUCAAAUACUGUGGAUUCAGAGAUUAAUUCGGGGGAAGCUGACAUCAGUACAAUACUCUGCCAUUCACUGCAGGAGCCAGGCAGAACUCUGUUUGUCUGUCACAUCUUCCACACACCCAGGUUUCUGCUAAGAAACUUGUGGCUUCCCUCAUGGAUUUAGUUCUUUGGUUUCCAUUAUUGUUGUGAAUGAGUUUUCACUGCCCCCUCUCCUGUUUUGUUUGGCUUUUGUUUGCUACAUUUCUUUUUAAUCUACUUUCUAAUCGCUGCACUUCAUUCACAGACACACACAAAGUAAACGUUCUUCCUCCCUGGGCACAAACACGCAAGCACAGUUGAGCACAGAGCCGGCGUAAUUGGCUGAAAAUGAAUGGGAAUUUUUUCAAAUUAAAGUUUAAUGACACAAGCGAAACCUGAAUACAUCCUUCUUUUUAAGAGCCAGAGCACCGCUGCUGCAGCUGGAGUCCCUUCUGGCCACCUGCUUCCAUCCCAUUCUUCUUCCCCUUCCCCAGUGGGAGCCACUGUGAUGGGCUUGGUGUGUCCUUUUUUGGACCUUUCUAAAAACUCGUAAAUAUGUAUCUACACACCCACAGGAGAUACAGAAUUUUACCAUCCAUACGCAGUUUUUACCCUGGGUGAACAUUAUUAAGGCUGCAGAAUGUAAUGUCAGUAUUGUCACACACCCUAAUGUGGCAGUGGGGGAAGGAGGCAGCUGCAGGGAAGACUGAGCAGCUGCGGACACAUGGUGGACGGAGGAAGGAAGGGGCAGAUAGGUUCCAUCCAGUCGGAUAACCAAAAUCGAACUUUAAACCCUGCUGUUGGCAUGGGGCUGUCAGGGAGUACUUUCCAAAGGCCCGAAGCUUAGUCUGUGGGACAUAAGAGGUCUUAGAGAUAAGAAAAAGAUAUAGCAGAUGCAGUUCUGAGACCUCCUGCGAGCCCAUUUCAGUGUCACGGGACUUAGAAGGGCGGCUUCAGGGCCCCGCUGGUGGCUUUCCUGGCCUUCCCCUCCCCUCUCUGUCUAGGUGCUGCUGGGUGAAAACAUAAAACUUGGAACUCUGACAGCCAUCCUGCCAUGAGGAGGGGACGAGACUGCUGAGACUGGGCCGGCGUUCCUGCGACCACUGACUUGUGGAUUGUUCACACUUGAAUAAAUGUUCUUGCUGCUA